UGGGGUGACAUUUUGGAAAUCUAUUUUUU
rnacentral:piRNA from 1 species